rnacentral:pre_miRNA from 11 species
AGAUAAAAUGAAUAUGGGACUGUGUCGCUUUGGCAGUGCACUACUAGCUGGCUGUUGAGAUAUAUUCAUUUUUACAGUGGUUAGUUGCACUCCACACUGAUGCAGUCCAAAACACUGCAAGAGUAA